rnacentral:rRNA from 1 species
AACGAACGCUGGCGGCAGGCUUAACACAUGCAAGUCGAGCGCCCCGCAAGGGGAGCGGCAGACGGGUGAGUAACGCGUGGGAACAUACCCUUUGGUUCGGAAUAACUCAGGGAAACUUGAGCUAAUACCGGAUACGUCCGUAAGGAGAAAGAUUUAUCGCCAAAGGAUUGGCCCGCGUCCGAUUAGCUAGUUGGUGAGGUAACGGCUCACCAAGGCUACGAUCGGUAGCUGGUCUGAGAGGAUGAUCAGCCACAUUGGGACUGAGACACGGCCCAAACUCCUACGGGAGGCAGCAGUGGGGAAUAUUGGACAAUGGGCGCAAGCCUGAUCCAGCCAUGCCGCGUGAGUGAUGAAGGCCUUAGGGUUGUAAAGCUCUUUGUCCGGGAAGAUAAUGACUGUACCGGAAGAAUAAGCCCCGGCUAACUUCGUGCCAGCAGCCGCGGUAAU